rnacentral:rRNA from 1 species
GCCCGAAGAAUAAAAUUUCAGGUGGUGCCUGCCCAAUGACAAAAAAAUAUCUUCUUAAAAAAAGUUAUUUUGUUGAAUGGCGGCUGUAUUCCUGACGGUCGUAAUGUAGCACAAUAACGAGCCCUUUAAUUGAGGGAUAGUAUGAAUGGCUUUACGAGGCCUUCACUGUCUUAAAAAGAAAUUUAAUAAAAUUGAACUAAUAGUGAAGAUGCUAUUUAAAAUUGUAAGACGAGAAGACCCUAUGAAGCUUCACUAUAGUAAUCGACUUUAAAUCUGAAGAACAAUCUAAGUCGAUACGGGGUAGUUUAGUUGGGGCAACGAUGUUUUAAAAAGAAAGAACAUAACUAAUUACUGUAUAAGUAAUUACUUUACCAGUUGCAAAGCAGAUUUAUGACCCAUUGUUUCAUUAACCUCUGGACAAUGAUUAUUAAAUAAAAGCUACUCUAGGGAUAACAGGAUAAUUUAAUCUUAGAGCACCUAUCGAAGAUUAAGCUUAUCACCUCGAUGUUGAAUUGAGGUAACCUGCCGGCGCAGGUGCCGGGAAGGGUGGGUCUGUUCGACCCCUAAGACCUU